rnacentral:rRNA from 1 species
GACGUAGGGCGCGAGCGUUGUCCGGAAUUAUUGGGCGUAAAGAGCUCGUAGGCGGUUUGUUGCGUCGGCUGUGAAAACCCGGGGCUCAACUCCGGGCCUGCAGCCGAUACGGGCAGACUAGAGUUCGGCAGGGGAGACUGGAAUUCCUGGUGUAGCGGUGAAAUGCGCAGAUAUCAGGAGGAACACCGGUGGCGAAGGCGGGUCUCUGGGCCGAUACUGACGCUGAGGAGCGAAAGCGUGGGGAGCGAACAGG